ncrna:unclassified sequences skipping-rope RNA
AUUAUUUGAGGUGGUAAAUUUCGUUGCAACCACGCACUCUAUGGGUUAAAAGAGAUGCAGGAGCCGUGACGCCUGCCAAAUAAU